UCAUACGGAGGAAAGAACCCAACAGGGAUUGCCUCAGUAACUGCGAGUGAAGCGGCAACAGCUCAGAUUUGAAAGCUGGCCCCCUCGCGGGGUCCGCGUUGUAAUCUGCAGAGGGGUCCUCCGGCGCGGCGGUCCACUAAGUCCCCUGGAACGGGGCGCCAAAGAGGGUGAGAGCCCCGUGAGCGGACCGCCAAGCCUCUGUGAGGCCCCUUCGACGAGUCGAGUAGUUUGGGAAUGCUGCUCUAAACGGGAGGUGAAUUCCUUCUAAAGCUAAAUACCCGCCAGAGACCGAUAGCGCACAAGUAGUGUAAACGAAAGGUGAAAAGCACCCUGGAGAGAGGGUUAAACAGAACGUGAAAUUGCUGAAAGGGAAGCGCCAGCGUCCAGACGCGGGCCGCCCGGCUCCCCCCGGCCUCCGCGGCCGGGGGUCUCCGCGGCGGCCCGGGCCAGCACCGGCUUCGGCGGGGGUUGAAUGGCGCCGGGGACGUGGCUCCCUCGCGGAGUGUUACAACCCGGCGCUCGAUGCCCCCGCUGGGGCCGUGGUACCUGCGCCUCCGGGCACGGGUGCUGGCGUAAUGGUCAUUGGCGUCCCGUCUUGAAACACGGACCAAGGAGUCGAGGUAUCGCGCGAGUGUACGGGCGUCAAACCCCCAACGCGCAGCGAAAGCGAACGCUCGUGGGAGCCUCACGGCGCACCACGGACCGAUCCAGAAGCCCUGGCGGACGGAUUCGAGUAGGAGCGCGGUGCCUCGGACCCGAAAGAUGGUGAACUAUGCUUGGAUAGGGUGAAGCCAGGGGAAACUCUGGUGGAGGCUCGCAGCGGUUCUGACGUGCAAAUCGAUCGUCAAAUCUGAGCAUGGGGGCGAAAGACUAAUCGAACCAUCUAGUAGCUGUACC
rnacentral:rRNA from 1 species